CCAAGGGAGGGCAGGCAAGUGGGGGAAUAUGCACAAUCGGCGCAAGGCCUCGAUUGCAGCAUGCCGCGAUGUAAUGAAAGAAGGGCUUCGGGUUGUAAAGUACUUUUCCAGCGGGGGAGGAAGGUGUUGUGGUUAUAACCCGCCAGGCAAUUGACGUUACCCGCAGAAGAAGCACCCGGCUAACUCCGUGCCAGCAGCCCGCGGUAAUACGGAGGGUGCAAGCGUUAAUCGGAAUUACUGGGCGUAAAGCGCACGCAGGCGGUCUGUCAAGUCGGAUGUGAAAUCCCCGGGCUCAACCUGGGAACUGCAUUCGAAACUGGCAGGCUGGAGUCUUGUAGAGGGGGGUAGAAUUCCAGGUGUAGCGGUGAAAUGCGUAGAGAUCUGGAGGAAUACCGGUGGCGAAGGCGGCCCCCUGGACAAAGACUGACGCUCAGGUGCGAAAGCGUGGGGAGCAAACAGGAUUAGAUACCCUGGUAGUCCACGCCGUAAACGAUGUCGAUUUGGAGGUUGUGCCCUUGAGGCGUGGCUUCCGGAGCUAACGCGUUAAAUCGACCGCCUGGGGAGUACGGCCGCAAGGUUAAAACUCAAAUGAAUUGACGGGGGCCCGCACAAGCGGUGGAGCAUGUGGUUUAAUUCGAUGCAACGCGAAGAACCUUACCUGGUCUUGACAUCCACAGAACUUUCCAGAGAUGGAUUGGUGCCUUCGGGAACUGUGAGACAGGUGCUGCAUGGCUGUCGUCAGCUCGUGUUGUGAAAUGUUGGGUUAAGUCCCGCAACGAGCGCAACCCUUAUCCUUUGUUGCCAGCGGUCCGGCCGGGAACUCAAAGGAGACUGCCAGUGAUAAACUGGAGGAAGGUGGGGAUGACGUCAAGUCAUCAUGGCCCUUACGACCAGGGCUACACACGUGCUACAAUGGCGCAUACAAAGAGAAGCGACCUCGCGAGAGCAAGCGGACCUCAUAAAGUGCGUCGUAGUCCGGAUUGGAGUCUGCAACUCGACUCCAUGAAGUCGGAAUCGCUAGUAAUCGUAGAUCAGAAUGCUACGGUGAAUACGUUCCCGGGCCUUGUACACACCGCCCGUCGACACCAUGGGAGUGGGUUGCAAAAGAAGUAGGUAGCUUAACCUUCCAGAGGGCGCUUACCAGAUGUGAUUUCC
rnacentral:rRNA from 1 species